rfam:Bursaphelenchus xylophilus, Ka4C1 (inbred line), WGS project CADV01000000 data, contig: scaffold01094
AGCGGUGUGGCCGAGUGGUUAGAGCGACGGGUUGGAAAUCCGAAGGAAACGGGUUCGAUUCCUUUUGCCACAC